rnacentral:misc_RNA from 1 species
GCUGAAGAACGUAGCGAAAUGCGAUAAGUAAUGUGAAUUGCAGAAUUCAGUGAAUCAUCGAAUCUUUGAACGCACAUUGCGCCCGCCAGUAUUCUGGCGGGCAUGCCUGUUCGAGCGUCAUUACAACCCUCAGGCCCCCGGGCCUGGCGUUGGGGAUCGGCGGAGCCCCCCGUGGGCACACGCCGUCCCCCAAAUGCAGUGGCGGUCCCGCCGCAGCUUCCAUCGCGUAGUAGCUAACACCUCGCGACUGGAGAGCGGCGCGGCCACGCCGUAAAACACCCAACUCUUCUGAAGUUGACCUCGAAUCAGGUAGGAAUACCCGCUGAACUUAAGCAUAUCAAUAAGCGGAGGA